rnacentral:rRNA from 1 species
GACGAACGCUGGCGGCGUGCUUAACACAUGCAAGUGGUGCGACGAACCAGGCUUCGGCCUGGGGCGAAGCCGCGAACGGGUGAGUAACACGUGGGCAAUCUGCCCCUUUGAUCGGGACAACCCGGGGAAACCCGGGCUAAUACCGAAUGAGGUGGCGACUCAUGAGAGUCGUCACGAAAGGAAGCUUCGGCCUCCGCGAAGGGAUGAGCCCGCGGCCCAUUAGCUUGUUGGUGGGGUAAUGGCCUACCAAGGCAACGAUGGGUAGCUGGUCUGAGAGGACGAUCAGCCACACUGGGACUGAGACACGGCCCAGACUCCUACGGGAGGCAGCAGUAGGGAAUCUUCCGCAAUGGACGAAAGUCUGACGGAGCAACGCCGCGUGAGUAAUGAAGGCUUUCGGGUCGUAAAACUCUGUUGUUAGGGAAGAACAAGUGCUAGUUGAAUAAGCUGGCACCUUGACGGUACCUAACCAGAAAGCCACGGCUAACUACGUGCCAGCAGCCGCCGUAA